GGGCGAAUAGCUCAGCUGGCCAGAGCACCUGCCUUACACGCAGGGGGUCACAGGUUCGAGUCCUGUUUCGCCCACCA
rnacentral:tRNA from 1 species